rnacentral:rRNA from 1 species
AGUGAACGCUGGCGGUAGGCCUAACACAUGCAAGUCGAACGGCAGCACAGUAAGAGCUUGCUCUUACGGGUGGCGAGUGGCGGACGGGUGAGGAAUACAUCGGAAUCUACUUUUUCGUGGGGGAUAACGUAGGGAAACUUACGCUAAUACCGCAUACGACCUACGGGUGAAAGCAGGGGAUCUUCGGACCUUGCGCGAUUGAAUGAGCCGAUGUCGGAUUAGCUAGUUGGCGGGGUAAAGGCCCACCAAGGCGACGAUCCGUAGCUGGUCUGAGAGGAUGGUCAGCCACACUGGAACUGAGCCACGGUCCAGACUCCUACGGGAGGGAGCAGUGGGGAAUAUUGGACAAUGGGCGCAAGCCUGAUCCAGCGAUACCGCGUGGGUGAAGAAGGCCUUCGGGUUGUAAAGCCCUUUUGUUGGGAAAGAAAAGCAGCAGGUUAAUACCCCGCUGUUCUGACGGUACCCAAAGAAUAAGCACCGGCUAACUUCGUG